rnacentral:rRNA from 1 species
AGCGCAGGCGGGAAACUAAGCGGAUCUUAAAAGUGCGGGGCUCAACCCCGUGAGGGGGUCCGAACUGGUUUUCUUGAGUGCAGGAGAGGAAAGCGGAAUUCCCAGUGUAGCGGUGAAAUGCGUAGAUAUUGGGAAGAACACCAGUGGCGAAGGCGGCUUUCUGGACUGUAACUGACGCUGAGGCUCGAAAGCAUGGGUAGCAAACA